rnacentral:rRNA from 1 species
UACGUAGGGGGCAAGCGUUGUCCGGAAUCAUUGGGCGUAAAGCGCGUGUAGGCGGCCAGAAAAGUCCGCUGUGAAAACUCGAGGCUCAACUUCGAGCUGUCGGUGGAAACUUUCUGGCUAGAGUCCGGAAGAGGAGAAUGGAAUUCCUGGUGUAGCGGUGAAAUGCGCAGAUAUCAGGAGGAACACCGGUGGCGAAGGCGGGUCUCUGGGCCGUAACUGACGCUGAGGAGCGAAAGCGUGGGGAGCGAACAGG